GUCCCCUGAGAGGCUCUGCCAGCACCUGACUAAAACAGGCCAAGAGGAACACGUACUGGAAAGAGGUGCGACUUCUAUCCACAGACAACUUUAAAAGCUGCACAGAAAAUCCCAGAUAAUCCAAAAGUAAUAAGUGUUGCAGGAACCUGAAGUCAGAGAAGAAGUUGGAUAGCAACUUGUAAAUGUGACAGACGGCAGGAGGAACAGGAUGGGCUGCCGACCACGGGACGAAGAA
rnacentral:sRNA from 1 species